GGGUGAACGCUAGCCGGCAGGUUUUAACACAUGCAAGUCGAGGGGCAGCAUAACUGCUUGCAGUUGAUGGCGACCGGCGCACGGGUGCGUAACGCGUAUGAAACCUACCUAUUACUGAGGGAUAGCCUUUAGAAAUGAAGAUUAAUACCUCAUGGUGUUUAAAGAUCGCCUGAUUUUUAAAUUAAAGAUUUAUUGGUAAUAGAUGGUCAUGCGUCUUAUUAGCUAGAUGGUAAGGUAACGGCUUACCAUGGCCACGAUAAGUAGGGGUCCUGAGAGGGAGAUCCCCCACACUGGUACUGAGACACGGACCAGACUCCUACGGGAGGCAGCAGUGAGGAAUAUUGGUCAAUGGAGGCAACUCUGAACCAGCCAUGCCGCGUGAAGGAUGAAGGUUCUAUGGAUUGUAAACUUCUUUUAUACAGGAAGAAACUGUUCUACGUGUAGAGCACUGACGGUACUGUACGAAUAAGCACCGGCUAACUCCGUGCCAGCAGCCGCGGUAAUACGGAGGGUGCAAGCGUUAUCCGGAAUCAUUGGGUUUAAAGGGUUCGUAGGCCGGAUUUAUAAGUCAGCGGGUGAAAUCCUGCAGCUCCAC
rnacentral:rRNA from 1 species